rnacentral:misc_RNA from 1 species
AUCAAUAAAUAAGCACUAACACAGCUCAUAAUUAGUAAGCAACUAAUAACAAUGAAAGCUCACUUGCUAUAAAUUUAGCAGUAAGAAUAUGUACAGGAACUUGGCAUUAAAUGUUGUGAUGAUACUUGCAAAUUACAUUGAUGAUGCUUCCUCAUGCUAAACUAUAUACAUUAGAGAGCAAUUUAACCGCUGAUUAAUGCAAGUUUAAUCAACAGUCCAUAACGUAUGAAAAGAUUAUCGCCUUUGGUAAUUGAAGAA